UGCGCAGGCGGCCUGGUAAGUCAGGGGUGAAAUAUGACGGCUUAACCGUCAAACUGCCCCUGAAACUGUCAGGCUUGAGUCCGGGAGAGGAAGGUGGAAUUCCAGGUGUAGCGGUGAAAUGCGUAAAUAUCUGGAGGAACACCGGUGGCGAAGGCGGCCUUCUGGCCCGGAACUGACGCUCAGGCACGAAAGCUAGGGGAGCGAACAGGAUUAGAUACCCUGGUAGUCC
rnacentral:rRNA from 1 species